rnacentral:hammerhead_ribozyme from 1 species
GUCCAGCUGACGAGUCCCUAAUAGGACGAAACGCGCGUUCUGAAU